rnacentral:lncRNA from 1 species
GUGACACGCUACAGUUUCGCCGAUACCAGCGGUACUAUUACAGAGACUGAGAGGAGCACAGAGUCCCAGCCGGCAACUGUGUCUCCUAGCCAUACAAGACCCUUCUUGGCUGAUUCAGUAACCACCUCCACCAUGACCAGACACCAGAGUAGCAGUUUGUCUACCACGGGGACGUGCCACCAGUUAACCCCCAACAGGUUAUGUGAUAUUUUAUCAGGCAUGGCCCAAGCACAGC